rnacentral:rRNA from 1 species
GACGUAGGGCGCGAGCGUUGUCCGGAAUUACUGGGCGUAAAGGGCUCGUAGGCGGCCAACUAAGUCGGAUGUGAAAUCCCCAGGCUCAACCUGGGAACUGCAUCCGAUACUGGAUGGCUUGAAUCCGGGAGAGGGAUGCAGAAUUCCAGGUGUAGCGGUGAAAUGCAUAGAUACCAUCCAGAACCCCGAUUGCGUAGGCAGCUGACUAGGCUGGUACUGACACUGAGGCACGAAAAGCGUGGGGAGCGAACAGG